GUGUUGCUAUACAACUCUCGUUUAAGAUUUUUUGCAGGAAAACUUCUCUCUAAAUGGGAAGGUCCCUACGUUAUCGAGGAGGUCUAUCGUUCCGGUGCCAUAAAAAUCAACAACUUCGCAGGCACAAAUCCGAAUGUGGUAAACGGUCAAAGGAUCAAACACUAUAUCUCAGGUAAUCCUAUAAAUGUUGAAACCAAUAUUAUUGAAACCGUAACCCCGAAGGAGUACAGAAAUGACACUUUCCAGAACGUUCCAGACUCUGAAAAGGAAUAUGUAUGUGGUACGGUAAGUAAACCGAAUCCAAAACAAUUUUUAAGGCAAUAUUUCUCCAUUUUGGAAUAUUUAGAAAAAUAG
rnacentral:rRNA from 1 species